AUUCCAGCUCCAAUAGCGUAUAUUAAAGUUGUUGCAGUUAAAAAGCUCGUAGUUGGAUUUCUGGUGGGGCUGUCGGCCUGGCUCCGAAAGGGGUCGUGGUUAGUACACGCCUGGCCAUCCUCGGGGGAAGCUUUGCUGGCAUUAAGUUGUCGGCGGAGUGACGCUCGUCGUUUACUGUGAACAAAUUAGAGUGUUCAAAGCAGGCUUAGGCCGUUGAAUACAUUAGCAUGGAAUAAUGAGAUAGGACUUUGGUGGUCUAUUUUGUUGGUUUGCACGCCGAAGUAAUGAUUAAUAGGGGCGGUUGGGGGCAUUCAUAUUCCAUUGUCAGAGGUGAAAUUCUUGGAUUAACGGAAGAUGAACUUCUGCGAAAGCAUCUGCCAAGGAUGUUUUCAUCA
rnacentral:rRNA from 1 species